rnacentral:rRNA from 1 species
UACGUAGGGUGCGAGCGUUAAUCGGAAUUACUGGGCGUAAAGCGUGCGCAGGCGGUGAUGUAAGACAGGUGUGAAAUCCCCGGGCUUAACCUGGGAACUGCAUUUGUGACUGCAUGGCUGGAGUGCGGCAGAGGGGGGUGGAAUUCCGCGUGUAGCAGUGAAAUGCGUAGAUAUGCGGAGGAACACCGAUGGCGAAGGCAGUCCCCUGGGCCUGCACUGACGCUCAGGCACGAAAGCGUGGGGAGCAAACAGG